rnacentral:misc_RNA from 1 species
GAUGAAGAACGUAGUGAAAUGCGAUAAGUAGUGUGAAUUGCAGAAUUCAGUGAAUCAUCGAAUCUUUGAACGCACAUUGCGCCCCUUGGUAUUCCAUGGGGCAUGCCUGUUCGAGCGUCAUUUGUACCUUCAAGCUCUGCUUGGUGUUGGGUGUUUGUCUCGCCUCUGCGUGUAGACUCGCCUCAAAACAAUUGGCAGCCGGCGUAUUGAUUUCGGAGCGCAGUACAUCUCGCGCUUUGCACUCAUAACGACGACGUCCAAAAGUACAUUUUUACACUCUUGACCUCGGAUCAGGUAGGGAUACCCGCUGAACUUAAGCAUAUCAAUAAGCGGAUGA